ACCACGCAUGCUCUUGCUUUUAUUCAUUCUUCCCUUUUCAGGCCAUUUCCUUUUCCUUUUCCUUCCCUGUUCUUUUUUCACUUCUCAUUUUCUUUCUGAUCUCUCAUUUUCUUUCCUUUUCUCUCUAGCUCAUUCAUUUCUAACAAUGGUUUCAUCUGAAGUCUCUUGGUUCGUCACAUUUCCAUUUUUGAUGAUGUUUUUUUUUUGGUGUAUUUUGAUUGUUUAUUGACUAAUUAUUGUUUCAAUUUAGGGUUUGUGCUUUGAUUUGUUGAAGCAAUCAGCUGUUUUUGCCCACUUUGUUCCUUAUUUUUACUUAUAUUGUGUAGUGAUUUUUCAAAUGUUUUGGCUUUAAUUGAUUUCUUGCUAUUUUAUUGCUUCUUCUACAUUUAUUCAACCUAAAUCAGGUUUGGCUUUGUCAUUUGUGGGUUAUUGUUUCUUUGAUACAUUUCUAGAAUGAGUUUCUAAGGGUCUCUCUCUUGACUAUAGGUUUUGAAAUAUGAUUCUUUGUCAGUUGUAAUUUUGAGGUUUCUUCAUCCAAACAUGUUUAUUUUCGCUGCUUGCCAAGGGAUUUGCUGCAGAGAAGAUCAAUCUACUGAUUGUAGGUAUUUGCGGGUGGCAGCCGUUUGACAGAUGGUAGGUAUUUGCGGGUUAGUUUCUUUCUUCCCUCUCUACAUUCAUAGAACUGGAGAUUUGCAUAUAUUCUAAUGAUUUGGUAACCCUAAUCAAUUUUAAUUUUAUAAUUUAUUUACUAUAUACAGCUUAUUCAUUUUACUAAUUCAACGACAAGUAACCACUCUGAAUCAUACCGAAUGCUUUCAUGUAGAAUUUUAUCAGGUGAUUUCACACGAAGACAUGUUUUGAUUUCAAUAACGCUUGCUUUUACUCUUAUUAUUUCAAAUGUAGUUGAAUUUCAUUUCAAUUUGUUUAUCUUACUUGAUCUAUUUUAUUUGAAGACAAAAUUCAGAGAAAGAGAGAAAGUUAGGGUUCUGAUGAGAAUAUGACUUCAAUAUGAUCAACUGUCUUGCAAACUCAUGAAGAUCAGUUUUAGGGAUUAAAGAUCCACUUGAGCUAAAAAAAGGGAAAUGAAAGGAACAACAUAAUAGAAAGUAAUAGAGGCUACUGGAGUGACUAUAGUUUGUGGAACUAUAAUUUGUUAGGUUAUUGAAGAUCAGUUUGUUAGGUUCAUAUAUAAUUUCAAGCAAAAUUUCAGAUUUUGCCUGCGUAUAAUUUCAAUUUGCUUUUAAUGGUUUUGGAUGCGGCCAAAUUGCUUCGCUAUUGCUUUUGGAUGCGGCCAAGUUGCUUAUUUUCUCCUGAUGUGAUUAGUGUUGGGCUAUUCAUAGUACUGAACUACAUAAGCAAAUGAUUUGUUAACAUAUUUCUAACUUUUUGGAGGACAUUAUGUGCUUAUUCUAAAUGCAUAGAUCUUUGAACUAAUUUUUUGGCUACAGAUUCAUUCAAUGCUAACAUUGUCAUAAUUGAGGAAGAGUCUGUGAAAGAAAGUUAUUAGAGAUCAUGAUAUCCUGCAUUUUGUAUUUGAAUAUAUAAUAUUAUCAUUUUUUUCUUGUGUUCUGGUAUUUUGUGUUCCAUGGCAUUAUUGUUUUCUUUACUAAUAUCAAACUUUGUAUCAUUUUCUUUGUACUAGGAGUGCAAAUUAUACCAACUUAUGAAAGAUAGAGGAAGGCCCUUUACUGAGAACGAAAUUCGAAAUCGGUUCUUUAAAAAAAAAUUCUAUCAUGUUUGGUUUGAAUAUUUUUUUUUUCUGUUUGUGGAAUAGUUGAUGUUUCCACAUUAGGUGUCAUUGGUGGAAAUUCUUAAUAGUAGACAGUUCCACGAUAUUCUUUGUUCAAUCUUAUUUGCAAAAUCGAUGUCUACGAGUUAAUCUGGUAUUUUAUUCCAUUAUCAAUUUUUGGUUCCUUCAGUUUUUAAAUAUUAACCAUGUACUAAUUGCAUAUAUCUAGGUAUGGUAUGCACUGUCCAAACCAUUAUCAAGUUUUGGUUCCUUCGUUUAAAAUUUACUAAUUUGAUUUGAGAUAACAUUAUCUUGCUUUCGUAAUUGGACCGAGUCUCCCUCCUAACCUUUGCUCUACAGCUUCUUUGUGCGUGGCUUGUUUAAAGGUAUCUAUUGGAAUAUUUUGCGAUAGUGAACGUGUAUUUUGGAUUGACAUGAUUUCUUUUAUAAUUUCCUUUCUAAAUAUAGUGUGAGAAAAUACAUCAGAUUAUAUAUCCCAGUCUUAUAUAAAUUGACAUCUGAAAUAAGCAAAUUAUAUUCACAUUGAUGACUGUAGGCCUUAUAGAAAAGUACCUCUCACUUGGUUUGAAAUUAAUGUAUAGUGUGCUUGUAUUUAAGUUCUGGAUUUAAGUUCUUCAAUUUACAUCUUGCUUCAACUGAGAAAGUAUUGUUUUGUUUCAACUUAGACAAGACCCAUGUUAUAAUUUACAAAACUCAACUGUAUCAGCUACAUCAACUAUUCAACAUUAUUUACAUUGAAUCUAACAUUUUUAUAUUUUCAUGCAUACAUUCAUUACUUUAUAAUUGAUAUCCUGAAAUCUUGGAAUGAUAUGAAACACUAAUCAGAGAUUGCAAACAAAACUCUGCAAAAUUCAUCGUGAUGAAAGAUGAACAAGGUCCAGUGAUGUAAUGAAAGACGAAGAAGAAAUAUGGAAGGACGCUUUAUUUUCAGCUGGGAUAGACAUGUAAUUUGUUCGAAACAGGCCAAGGAUUAAUGCUUAUUUAUUAUUGAUCAUGCUAGACACAAUUGGGCCUGAGUUGCAAGUCGAAUAAAACAGGGAAAGAGAUUACUCUCAAGGAAAAUUGACAGGCAAUACAUCUAGAACAAGAUGCCACAUCAGAUGUAUUGCCUGUCAAUUUCAGCGGUCUUGCAAAGGCUGUGAAGAAGGGGGACAUGAUAUUCAUGGGUAAAUACCUAUUCACUGGAAGUGAAACUACAUCCGUGUGGCUGGAGGUAUAUUAAUGGGCUGUAAGCAUCAUGAUCUCCAGUUUACUGUGAAGCUUUUAAGAAUGAGAGAGUGAAUCAUGUAGGAAUUAGGAUGCCUUGUUUAGCUUAAUAUUCCAAAAUAAUACAUACUAUAACGGUGCAGGUGUAUGACUCUGUCUAGAUGGGUUAGUGUAUUAUGUCAUGCAAUUGGAGUCCGACAGGAAAAUGUUUUCUUCGUAUCUGAGGUCAAAGGAGAAAAUGUCAUCUGUGUGAUCAAUAUUACCGCAACUUUGGAUGGGACUAUAUUCACUUUGCAUGCUUCUCAAGUUCAUAUUGAUAUGCCCACAUUGUCCGAGAAGGAUUUGAUUUGUAUUAUUAUUAAUAGAAAUGUAUAAAACAACAUUUGGAAUUUUGAAACUGUAAAAUGUUAGGGUUUUUGAUACUCUUUUUUUUUUGACUGAUUUUACACUAAUUUAACUAUUUUCAAUUGUUAUUAUUAUUUAUGUUAUUGUUUUUGUUGUUAGAUUCUCUUCUUGGUGUUGAGCUAAAGUUUUACUCUUGCUUCUACUUACUUCCAAUAUUACAAGUUUGGCUCUUCCAUUUUCUUUUGUAUUCCCCUCACCCACCAUUCCAUUUUUU